rnacentral:rRNA from 1 species
GGAAGAUGUUAAGGGCGCGAGGCGGAUGCCUUGGCGCGGGAAGUCGACGAAGGGCGCGGCAAGCUGCGAUAAGCCCGGGGGAGGCGCAAACGGCCUUCGAUCCCGGGAUUCCCGAAUGGGGGAACCCAGCGGGGGCAAUGCCCCGCUACCGGCGCCUGAAUCAAAUAGGGCGCCAGGAGGCAACCGGGGGAACUGAAACAUCUAAGUACCCCGAGGAAGAGAAAUCAACCGAGAUCCCGGGAGUAGCGGCGAGCGAAACCGGGCCAGCCCAAACCGGCGCGCGUGUCACAGCGUGCGGGCGCUUCCGCGCCGGGGUUGCUGGGCGGGACGCGAGGGGGCCGCACCCCCCUCCCGCUGUCAUAAACCUGCCCCUCAGGGGAACGGCCUGGGAAGGCCGGCGGAACAGGGUGAGAGCCCCGUACCCGAAGAGGCGCAGGCAGCGGGUUCCCGAUUCCCAGAGUAGCGCGGGGCACGUGAAACCCCGCGCGAAGCAGGGGGGACCACCCUCCAAGGCUGAACACUCUCCCGCGACCGAUAGCGAACCAGUACCGCGAGGGAAAGGUGAAAAGCACCCCGAGAGGGGAGUGAAACAGCGCCUGAAACCUCGCGCCCACGAGCAGCCGGAGCAGCCAUCGCGCUGUGACGGCGUGCCUUUUGUAGAAUGAGCCAGCGAGUCACCGCGCGCGGCGAGGUUAAGCUAUAGAAGCGAGCCGCAGCGAAAGCGAGUCUUUAAGCGGGCGACGUAGUCGCGCGCGGUGGACGCGAAGCCGGGUGAGCUACCCAUGGGCAGGCUGAAGCGGGGGUAAGACCCCGUGGAGGGCCGAACCCACUUCGGUUGAAAACGGAGGGGAUGACCCGUGGGUAGGGGUGAAAGGCCAAUCAAACCCGGAGAUAUCUCGUUCUCCCCGAAAUAGCUUUAGGGCUAGCCCCGGCCGUUUUCCCGCGGCGGUAGAGCACUGGACGGAGGAGGGGGCCUCACCGCCUACCGAUGCCGACCAAACUCCGAAUGCCGACGGGACGGAAAGGCCGGGAGUCAGAGCAUGUGGGCUAAGCUGUGUGCUCGAGAGGGAAACAGCCCAGACCGCCCGCUAAGGCCCCCAAGUCGUCGCUGAGUGGCAAAGGAUGUGCCCCUGCCCAGACAACCAGGAUGUUGGCUUAGAAGCAGCCAUGCAUUCAAAGAGUGCGUAACAGCUCACUGGUCGAGUGGGGGCGCGCCGACAAUUCACGGGGCUAAGCGACGCGCCGAAGCGGCGGAAUGUAGACACAUUGGUAGGGGAGCUUCCCCUGGGCGGAGAAGCCGGAGGGCGACCGACGGUGGAGCGCAGGGGAGUGAGGAUGCUGGCAUGAGUAACGAGAGCGGCGCGGGAAACGCCGCCGCCGUAAGCCCAAGGUUUCCUGGGGAAGGCUAAUCCUCCCAGGGUCAGUCGGGAGCUAAGGCGAGGCCGGAAGGCGUAGCCGAUGCGCAACAGGCGGACAUUCCUGUACCGCCUCUGGACCGCUAUUCAGACCGACGGGGCGACGGAGAAGGGUACGCAGGCGGGGUUCUGGACGCCCCCGUGAAAGCGCGUAGGCCGCAGGGCAGGCAAACCCGCCCUGCAGGAAAGGCCGAGACGCGAGACGAAGCCGCAUGGCGAAGCUGCGGAGCCCACGCUCCCUGGAAAAACCCCUAGGCAGGGACAGAGGCGCCCGUACCAAAACCGACACAGGUGGGCGGGUAGAGCAUACCGAGGCGAUCGGGGGAACCAUGGUCAAGGAACUCGGCAUAACCGCUCCGUAACUUCGGGAGAAGGAGCGCCGCCCGGGGUGGAGGGACACGCUCCCCGAGCCCUGGGCGGCCGCAGCGAAACGGCCCAAGCGACUGUUUACCAAAAACACAGGACUCUGCCAACCCGCGAGGGGAAGUAUAGGGUCUGACGCCUGCCCGGUGCCGGAAGGUUACGCGGAUGCGUUAGCACUCGUGCGAAGCGCUGAAGCCAAGCCCCGGUAAACGGCGGCCGUAACUAUAACGGUCCUAAGGUAGCGAAAUUCCUUGUCGGGUAAGUUCCGACCUGCACGAACGGCGUAACGACUUGGGCGCUGUCUCGACCAUGGACCCGGUGAAAUUGCACUAUUCGUGAAGAUGCGAAUUACCUGCGGAAGGACGGAAAGACCCCGUGAACCUUCACUGCAGCUUGGCAUUGGCCGUUGGCUCGGCGCGUAGAGGAUAGGCAGGAGGCAUCGAAACCGGGGCGCCAGCCCCGGCGGAGCCGCCCUUGGAAUACUGCCCCCUCCGUUCCGGCGGCCUAACGCGGCGCCCUGACCGGGGCCGCGGACCGUGCCAGGCGGGUAGUUUGACUGGGGCGGUCGCCUCCUAAAGAGUAACGGAGGCGCGCAAAGGUUGGCUCAGGACGGUCGGCAACCGUCCCGAGAGCGCAAGAGUGCAAGCCAGCUUGACUGCGAGGCGGACGGGCCGAGCAGGUGCGAAAGCAGGCUCUAGUGAUCCGGCGGCACAGAGUGGAACGGCCGUCGCUCAACGGAUAAAAGGUACUCCGGGGAUAACAGGCUGAUCUUGCCCAAGAGUCCACAUCGACGGCAAGGUUUGGCACCUCGAUGUCGGCUCAUCGCAUCCUGGGGCUGAAGUCGGUCCCAAGGGUACGGCUGUUCGCCGUUUAAAGCGGUACGCGAGCUGGGUUCAGAACGUCGUGAGACAGUUCGGUCCCUAUCCUCCGCAGGCGCAAGUGGAUUGAGGAGGUCUGCCCCUAGUACGAGAGGACCGGGGUGGACGGGCCUCUGGUGCAGCGGUUGUCGACCAACGGCACGGCCGCCUAGCUACGCCCGGCACGGAUAACCGCUGAAGGCAUCUAAGCGGGAAGCCGUCUCCGAGAUGAGUCCACUUUCCGGUAAGGGCCCGGGUAGAACACCCGGUCGACAGGGCGCAGGUGCAAGCGGGGCGACCCGCUCAGCCGAGCGCUGCUGAUAGCCCGAGCUCUUC